rfam:Candidatus Azambacteria bacterium RBG_16_47_10 RBG_16_scaffold_10926, whole genome shotgun sequence.
CCCCGUGACUAUAGGGCAUGGGUACUACCUCUUCCCAUUCCGAACAGAGUCGUAAAACUAUGCACCGCCGAUGAUAUUGCUUCGUUAUGUUGUGAGAAAGUAGGUCAUUGCGGGGA